ensembl:lncRNA
ACCUGUGUCCAAGGGGAAUCCCAGUAUAAGGCCCUCCUCCUCGGGAUCCUACAGAGGAUUAGGAGGGGAAAGAAAAAAAAAAUAGUUCUUAAACACCACCUUCCUCCCCGAACUCUCCUGCUGAAACCUGGAGGCUAUUCUUGGUUGGGAUGAAAGGAAACCCAUAGUCUAGGCAUCUCUGAGAACCAAUCUUCCCAAGGCCACAGUUAAAGACAGAAAGUCAUAAAACAGAAUCAGGGGCUUUUCCCCAGUGGCUCAGCAGUGAAGAAUUCACUUGUAAUGCAGAAGAUCUGGAUUUGAUCCCUGGGUCAGGACAAUCCACUGGAGAAGGGAAUGGCAACCCACUCCAGUAUUCUUGCCUGGAAAAUCCCAUGGACAGAGGAGCCUGGCGGGCUACAGUUCAUAGUGUCGGAAAAGAGUCAGACACGACUUAGUGACUAAACAACAACAAUUUUUGAUAAAGACAUCACAGUUUGAUAAAGACUGUCUCCUGGCUGACACAGUAAUACUGCAUGAGAUGACGUCAUAUCUCAAUCUAUCUACAUAUGGGCUCAGGUGGCUCAGUGAUAAAGAACCCGCCUGCCUAGGAGACAUAAGAGACAUGUGCAGGAGAUAUAAGAG